CGUGUUCUCCUCUUCUCACCUUUCUCUCUCCCUUAUCUCUUUCACGUUGAGCAAGCGGCGGGCGAAGGUAGCGGCGGCCGGUGCGGGCGGCCGGCGAGCUGCGCGAGGGGCCUGCGGGCCAGUGUCGGCGGCCGGCGAGCGGGGACGGGCAGAGGUAGUGGCGGAAGGUCGGGGCUGAUGCGGGUGGCGUGGCCAGCCAGUGGGCUGCGGGGUAGCUACGGGCAAUGAGGUGACGUGGACCAUCUGGAUCUGGAUCUGCGAACAGAGGCACCGUUGAGGGUGGCGUUGGUGGCAGCAGAGUUGACGGGGUGCGGUCGGUCAACGGUUCUGGCGACACAGCCAACGAGGGCGCCGGUGGCGUGGCCGGCCAGCAGGGGCGCUCGGCCUGCAGGCGGACAACAAGUGCAGGGGCCGGCGCGGGCAUGCCCGGCGCAGGCGGCUUGCUCGGGCAUCGCUUGUGGCGCGUUCAACCGGCGGGGCAGCCUCAGGCGGCGGGUGCGGCCUUCCGGCGGACUACAGGUGCAGGGCCAGCGUGGGCAAUUGUAGUGAGCAGCGUGUGCAGCCCAGGUGACACGAGUGGCGGUGGUGCCGGAUGCGGCAGCACGAGCGGCUACAGCCUUUUUUUAUUUUUCCUAAAAAUAUCAUUGCCUUUUAUUUUUCCUAAAAAUAUCAUUGCUGGCGGGCCUUCUAAUCAGCCAUCAAUACAAAUCGUAUCAACCCGCCAAUAGAGAGACCAUUUCUGCUGGCAGUGGCUUCUUGGACGCCAGCAGAGAGACCAUUUCUACUGGUAUUGGCUUGCUGGUGGGUGAGAAAUUGGUUUUGACUGCCAGUGCAAAUGUUUUCUAGCAUAGUGACCCUCACGCCAGGGGGCUGAUCUUUUCCCCGAGGAGGAGCAACCAGAAGAAGGGAUCAGGGAGCAAGUCAUAGAGAUGUCCCGGCCGUCAAUCUUCCAUUCACGCCCAUCCAUCAAGGGAGCCGCCAGAGGAAGGAGAUGGGAUGACGCGACCUCAAGCCAUCGACGCCAGCGUCACCGUCCGGCCCGGGGACGCCCAUCUACUUCAGGCCGGAUCUUUUUGCCAUCGGUAGAGCCGGCAGAGGAAGGAGCUGAGGAGGUGAUCCAGCCGGCGCGCGACGCCCUCAAAAACCGGUGUCUGCACCAGCCGGUGCCGCCCUCUACAACCUUCACUAGCAAGCUCCGUCCACCGUUGGCGCAGGGGGCGCUGAGGAAGCAAUGGCCCCUCUCUUCGUCUGCUGCGACGCAGGUUGAUCUCUUGUACUCUUCCUUUCUUCUCAUAGAUCAUAUGCAUGCGCACGCACGGCUCGCUCGAUCGGGAAGGCAGCCGGAGGAUGAGCUGUGGAGGCCAUCCAUCCUCGAUCCAUCAGCCGGCGCCGCCCUCUGCAACCUUCACCAGCAAGCUCCCCCACCAUUGGCGCACGGGGCAUCGAGGCUGACGAAGGCGACGAGCAAGCAGGAGAAAGCCAUGGCCCUCUCUUCGUCCUCAGCGGCGCGGGAACAUGAAGCUGCGUAUUUAAGAUGGAGGCACGAUGUCCACGACCGGCGGGGACGCUGCGGGUUGCCGGUAGCCGAUGGAGGAGCCGAUGCCGAUGGAGACGACGUCGCAAGGCCGCUAGCCCAGGGGUCGGCGCCCGCAAAGUUGGCAUCCGAAGCUACCGGACGUCGAAGGCAUGAGGGCGAGGCUCGGACGAUGCGUUGCCAAGGCAGCGGCCGCGGAGCCGCACCAUCACACGAAGUCAUCAAGCCGCCGGCUUUACAACGCUGAUGAAGACGAUGCCGGGACGGCAGGCGCUCAGGCGACGGAGACGUCGUGAAGACGUCGGAUUGUGCUCGGGCUGACAACAAGUUGGUGCUGCCGAUGUACAGUCGGAGGCCAGGAGCCGGACAGCACUACUCGGAUAUUACGAAGACCUUGCAUCUACAUAUAGAUGCACAACCACUAUGAGUUAGCAAUCAAGGAAGGAAGUCCAAGCUCUUCUCCGACGGCUUCUCCACGGCCCGGCCUUCACGCACGUCGAGGCUUGAAGACUACCUCGGCCUCAACGACCAAGACAGCGUCAACACCACGGAGCUACCGGAGGUGGUGCCGGGACGAAAAGACGGCGGACGACGAUGACACGCGAGGCUGUCGGCUAGGCUAUGCUGGGACAACAGAGGCGGUGCUGCCGCCGAGGGUGGCACAGUGCCGGUCCUAUGUUUUUAAGGGCCCUCUGGCGAACUCAUCACGAGCGCCCUCUAAACUAUAUAUAAAUUUUAUAAUAUAUAUAAGCGCUAAUUUUUCUUGCAAAAACAAAUCUAGUAAUAUAUUUUUAAUUCAA